AUAAUACUCCAUAGAUUAGAGACACUGGAAUGUUCUUUAGUCGAAAGUUCUGGCGCCUUAGGAUGGAUCUGCGGUCGAUUAGGUUGUUGUUGGGGUAACGGCCCAACAAGCCUGUAAUCGAUACGGGUUGUGGGAGCAAGAGCCCGGAGAUGGAAUCUGAGACACGAUUCCAGGCCCUACGGGGCGCAGCAGGCGCGAAAACUUUACAAUGCAGGAAACUGUGAUAAGGGAACUCCGAGUGCCCGUAUACGCGGGCUGUCCAGGUGUUUAAAAAUCAUCUGAAGAAAGGGCCGGGCAAGACCGGUGCCAGCCGCCGCGGUAAUACCGGCGGCUCGAGUGGUGGCCACUAUUAUUGGGCUUAAAGCGUCCGUAGCUGGACCGAUAAGUCUCUUGGGAAAUCCGCCGGCUCAACCGGCGGGCGUCUAAGGGAUACUGUUAGUCUAGGGACCGGGAGAGGUGAGAGGUACUCCGGGGGUAGGAGUGAAAUCCUGUAAUCCCCGGGGGACCACCGAUGGCGAAGGCAUCUCACCAGAACGGCUCCGACAGUGGGGGACGAAAGCUGGGGGAGCGAACCGGAUUAGAUACCCGGGUAGUCCCAGCCGUAAACUAUGCGCGUUAGGUGU
rnacentral:rRNA from 1 species